AUGCUCACUUUGGCAGCACAUACGCUAAAAUUGAAACUAUACAGGCAAGAUUAGCACGGCCCCUGCGCAAGGAAGACGUGCAAAUUUGUGAAGUGUUCCAUAUUUUG
rnacentral:snRNA from 1 species